AUUGAACGCUGGCGGCAGGCCUAACACAUGCAAGUCGAGCGGGGUUUUCGGACCUAGCGGCGGACGGGUGAGUAAUGCGUAGGAAGCUACCCGAUAGAGGGGGAUACCAGUUGGAAACGACUGUUAAUACCGCAUAAUGUCUACGGACCAAAGUGUGGGACCUUCGGGCCACAUGCUAUCGGAUGCGCCUACGUGGGAUUAGCUAGUUGGUGAGGUAAUGGCUCACCAAGGCGACGAUCUCUAGCUGGUUUGAGAGGAUGAUCAGCCACACUGGAACUGAGACACGGUCCAGACUCCUACGGGAGGCAGCAGUGGGGAAUAUUGGACAAUGGGCGCAAGCCUGAUCCAGCCAUGCCGCGUGUGUGAAGAAGG
rnacentral:rRNA from 1 species